rnacentral:rRNA from 1 species
GAGACCCGUGCCCACUGUUACCAGCAUGUCCUCCGGGACGAUGGGUACUCUGUGGGGACCGCCGGUGUUAAAUCGGAGGAAGGUGCGGGCCACGGUAGGUCAGUAUGCCCCGAAUCUCCCGGGCUACACGCGGGCUACAAUGGAUGGGACAAUGGGUCCCUACCCCGAAAGGGGAUGGUAAUCUCAUAAACCCAUUCCUAGUUCGGAUCGAGGGCUGUAACUCGCCCUCGUGAAGCUGGAAUCCGUAGUAAUCGCGUUUCAAUAUAGCGCGGUGAAUAC